GGGCACAUGGUGUAGUUGGUUAUCACGCUCGCUUAGCAUGAUGCGAUCAUUCUGCGAGAGGUGUUGGGUUCAAUUCCCAAUGUGUCCA